rnacentral:misc_RNA from 1 species
GAUGAAGAACGCAGCGAAAUGCGAUACUUGGUGUGAAUUGCAGAAUCCCGUGAACCAUCGAGUCUUUGAACGCAAGUUGCGCCCGAAGCCAUUAGGCCGAGGGCACGCCUGCCUGGGCGUCACACGUCGUUGCCCCCCCAUCUACUCCUUCGGGAUUGCGGGGGGCGGAUGAUGGCCUCCCGUGCGCCUCGCCGCGCGGUUGGCAUAAAUGCCAAGUCCUCGGCGACGCACGCCACGACAAUCGGUGGUUGCGAAACCUCGGUUGCCCGUCGUGUGCGGUCGUCGCGCAUCGAGGGCUCGAAAAAAUUGCCGGGUUCCGGCUCGGCUUUCAACGCGACCCCAAGUCAGGCGGGGUUACCCGCUGAAUUUAAGCAUAUCAAUAAGCGGAGGA